rnacentral:lncRNA from 1 species
UAUAUUCUUAAUAUNUUUCACGACUAUAAUAACAUUUCUAAUAUAAAUAAAUAUCAUUUAGCAGUGUAGUAAAAUGAUCUCAAACUUUUAUUUACGUAACUUAGGUUAUUGGUAAAGCCUAUAUCUUAUUGAAUCUUCUUACUUAAUAUCACUCUAUACGUAAUCAAUUUUGUAAUAUGUCUACUAAUAUGCAAAGAUUCAUUAAUUCAACCCUCACAAUUUACCAUAUUAUUAUUAUUUAUUU